UUGCCAUCGGAUGUGCCCAGAUGGGAUUAGCUAGUAGGUGGGGUAACGGCUCACCUAGGCGACGAUCCCUAGCUGGUCUGAGAGGAUGACCAGCCACACUGGAACUGAGACACGGUCCAGACUCCUACGGGAGGCAGCAGUGGGGAAUAUUGCACAAUGGGCGCAAGCCUGAUGCAGCCAUGCCGCGUGUAUGAAGAAGGCCUUCGGGUUGUAAAGUACUUUCAGCGAGGAGGAAGGCACUAAGGUUAAUAACCUUAGUGAUUGACGUUACUCGCAGAAGAAGCACCGGCUAACUCCGUGCCAGCAGCCGCGGUAAUACGGAGGGUGCAAGCGUUAAUCGGAAUUACUGGGCGUAAAGCGCACGCAGGCGGUCUGUCAAGUCGGAUGUGAAAUCCCCGGGCUCAACCUGGGAACUGCAUCCGAAACUGGCAGGCUAGAGUCUUGUAGAGGGGGGUAGAAUUCCAGGUGUAGCGGUGAAAUGCGUAGAGAU
rnacentral:rRNA from 1 species